UUUUUUUUUUUUGGUCUUUUUGUCUUUCAGGGCCACACCGUGGCAGAUGGAGCAGCCCAAGAAAUAGCAAAAAGACAAAAAAAAAAAGAACAGACAUGCUGACAAGUCCUAGCUCAGGCUUGGUCAUUCAGGCCAGCCUAAAAUUGCAGCUGGGGUAGGGAAAAGGAGACCCCAGACACUCACCCAUCCACAAUUUCACCCAGACUACUGCCAAGAUAAGAGGCAAAAAGCACAGAAAAGGACUUCUUAUGUCACCUGAGUUGAGGGCUGGCUGAAAGUUGAGGGUAUAGGAGGAACACUGAAAAAAAUAAAUAAAACUGUAGCAUCCAGGGUCUCACAGAAGUCACCAGGUAAAAGCGAUCCAUUCCUGAAGGAACCUGAAGUCUCUGAUCAUGUGACAGUUCACUUGCAACAACAGAGCAAUAAUUCAGUCCAUCUACUGAGCAAACUGACUCAUUUCCCCCCUCCACAGAUACCAACAUAUGCAGAAUAAGAGACAUAUCCAUGUCUUAGCUUAAUAAAUAUUUACCUCACCAUAAUGUCAUGCAGCCAACCAAAACUUCCAAGACACCAAAACAAAGCAAGAAAAGAUACCCAUUGCCAAGGGAUAAUGCUAUCAACAUAAUCAGACCCUGAGAUGGCAGAAAUGCUGAAACUAUCAAAUAGACACUUGGUGAUUAAAACGUAAAAAUAUAUAGAGAAAAAGACAACAUGAAUAAACAAAAAUUCAGCAAAGAGGUGGAAAAUGCUGUAAAGUCCUAUGAAAAUAUUAACAAAUUAUUUUAUAUCAAAGAUGAAGAAUGCUUUCCCUGGGCUUACAAAUAACUAGACACAAUAGGAAGAACUGGUAAAUUUGAUAGAUCAAUAGAAAUGACUCUGACUGAAAACUGAAAAGGGGUAGGAAUGCAGAUUAUCCAAAACCUAAGAAACAAUAUAAGUUGGACUAAGGCACUUGUAAAAUAGUCCAGAAGAAGAGAUGGAAAAGGGGCAGAAGAAAUAUUCAAAAAUAGAUGAAAAUCUGAAAAAUCAGGAAUGAUAUUAACUAGAGAUCAAAGAAGCUUAUAGUUAUCCAAGCAGGAUAACUACAAAUAACAACACAUCUCUGCACUUCAUAGCAAAAGUUAAAAAAAAAAAGAAAUAUUACCUACAGAGGAACAUAGAUCAGAAUAACAAAAGAUAUCUCUCAGAAACUAUGUAAGAUAGAGGAUAACAGAACAAAAUCUUUAAAAGAAAGUUGUUGACCUAGAAGUCAAAACCCAGAUAAAAUAUUUCAUAAACAAAGGAAAACAGACUUUUUCAGGCAAGCCAGAGCUGAGAAAAGCCACUGCCUGCAGACCUACACUAUAAGAAAUGCUAAAGAAAUUUUUUCAGGCAAAAGUAAUGGAUACUAGAUCAAAACUUACCACAAGAAAAUAAAGAACUGGGAAUAAUGAACCCAACUAGUAUCCAUGAGGACAAGGGUUUGAUUCUUGGCCUCACUCAGUACGUUAAGGAUCCAGCAUUGCUGGGAGCUUUGGUGUAGGUCUCAAAUGCAGCUUGGAACUUGUGUUGCUAUGGCUGUGGUGUAUGCUGGCAGCUGCAGCUCCAAUUUGACCCCUAGCCUGGGAACUUCCAUAUGCUGCAGAUGCGAGCCUGAAAAGACAAAAAAAGAAAAAGAAAAUAAAGAACUAUGGAACUAGAAAAAAAAAUUGUUAAAUACAAAAGAUGCAUAAUUGGCUCUUUAAAGCAAAAACAAUAACUAGGGAAUGUACAGUUUAUAACAUGUAUAAAUAAGAUGUAUUAAGAAAACAGCAUGAACAAUGGGAGAGAAAGAAAAUGGCAGCAUACCAUUGUAAGAUUCUGACAUCCUACAAGAAGUGGGAGAAGUUAAUGUUGUAUAUAUUGUAAACCCUAGAGUAACUACUAAAAAUAUAAAAGAGAUAUAAUUAAGAAGCGAAUAGUAGAGACAAAAUAGAAUAUUAAAAAAAUAAUAAUAAUUAAGCCCAAAAAAGGCAAGAAAGAGGAAAAUAAGAGGAAAGAACAGCUAAGACAAAUAGAAAACAAAUAGGGAUUCCCACUGUGGCUCAGUGGAAAGCAAAUCUGACUAGCAUCCAUGAGGACGCAGGUUCGAUCCCUGGCCUCGCUCGGUGGGUUAAGGAUCUGGCAUUGCUGUGAGCUGUGGUGGAGGUUGCAGACACAGCUUGGAUCUGGCCCUGCUGUGGUUGUGACAUAGGCCAGCAGCUGCAACUCCAAUUCGACCCCUAGCUUGGGAAUCUCCAAAUGCUGCAGGUGCGGGCCCGUUAAAAAACAAACAAACAAACAAAUAGAAAACAAAUAGCAAAUCAGUGGAUAAAAACCAAUCACAUUAUAUAUAAUUUAAUUCCAAUUAAAAUCACAACAGGGUUUUUACAUAAUUUUUGCCUGGGGAGGUAGAACAAUUGGUCAAAUAUCCCUUAGACAGGAAACCUAGUUACAUGUCUGAGACUAUCUAAGAAAAAUAAUUUUGAAAAGAAAAAAAUCUGGUACUGUCAUAUGAUAUAUGAGAACAACUGUGACAUUUAUAUUUAUUGGGGGAAAAAAAAAAGACACAUUGCCUUAAAAAUGGUUCUGGAUACAAUGCACUAGAUAUGCAUCUGUAAAUAAGUAAGGGUGGACCAAAAACAACUAAAAAUUCCAAAUGGACUAAAGAUAUGAUCAAAUAGAAAGAAAACUUAAAUCUAAAUAGAGGAGAUGAUGUGUCUAUUUCAUCUAUGAAAAAAAGUCUUCAAAAAAAAUACAACAAAAACAGGAAACCAGAGAAAGAAUUGAUUAUAUUAAAACUGUAAAUGUUACAUACCAAAAGAUUCUUCUGCAACAGACAAGAGACAAAAGAUCCGUAUUUGAAAAAACCAUCUGCAAUGCAAGUAUCAGGCAAAUAGUUAAUAGCUAUAAUAUAUAAAGAAGUCCCACAAAAGGACAAUAACCAAAUAGAAAAGUGAGCAAAGAAUAAAGGACGACUCCUGGAAAAAGAAUUCCAUUUACCUACCAACAGAGUCAUAAGAGACACCCCUAUGCAACUAUCAGACUAGAAAAGUGUCAACCGUUGCUGAUGGGAGUUUCACGAAACUAGUUCCCCGCACUGCUGGUAGAAAUGGGGAACCAUUAAAGCCUUUUUUCAAAGGAGUGUGGAAACAUUUUGAAUCCAAAAGCCCACCCUGGAGAUCGAUCCCAUAGAUCUGACAUAUAAAGACAUUUACUGCAGUAUUGGUUUUGGUGGCAAGAACUAGAAACAAAAUGUUUCCCAUCAGUAAGUUAAUGGACAAGUAGACUGAAAUAAUCAUACCUUAAAAUAUGCUGCAACAGUUUUCUUUGGUUUUAAUGGAUUAGCGUUGUUGGAGCUAAGCAGAAGGACUUCCCUCAGGCAACACUGAAGGAAAAAAGAUCAUCUCCCAAAAAUAACCCCAUAUUUGGAAUCAGUGAUUGAUAAACUUUGUGUUAUAUGUGUUUUAACACUAACAGAUAUGGAGAAAAUGAAUAAAGGACACCUAAGAGUUCUGAGGACGAAGGUUUCGGGGGGGAUGUAACACUGUUGUUGGCUAGAGGAAGAAGGAAUGCUAAGUAAGAGAAAGGAGUUCACUAAAAUAUGAAGUUUAACGUCUCCAUACACCUGUCCCCACUUUUUUCAGAGAUGCCUUUGUAAACCUGCCCAAGGAGUGAGUUUCUGCAAAACAGAGCUUCUUUCCUACAGAUCUCAAAUUGUGCUCCUUUGAAAAAAUAAGCCAUAAAAGUAACAAGAAAUUCACAUUUAAAUACUUACUAUCUAGCUUUGAGUUAGUGGUAAACAUUAAAUAUGUUUAAAAUACAUCAUACACAUUUUAUGUACAAUAAAUGGGCAAUACCUAUUUUUAGAAAGAGAAAAACCUUAGAAAAUCACUUGUUUAAAUGGGGAAAAAAAGGGGGGGGGGGGUUCCAGUAAGGUUAAGAGUACUUAAAAGAGACUAAAACAUGAAUCUGAAACUAUCUAGGGUUUUAUUGUUAGGUACAUAAAAGAUCUACAAGAAGAAAAUGAACUGAGGCAGAAUACAUUAGCAUGGCCUUUCCUUUAGGCUUAGCUGUGCUGCUUUUUCACCAACCUGCCUAUACACUGCGACAACCCCCACAUUUAAUUUUUGCGUUUUCAGCACCUAUAGAACCCCUGGUAUGUGCCAAGUGAAGAAUCAUCUUUCUAAAUAACUUUCUUAAGAGUAUAGAUCCUGGAGCUCCCGUCGUGGCUCAGUGGUAAACGAAUCUGACUAGGAACCACGAGGUUGCAGGUUCGAUCCCUGGCCUCGCUCAGUGGGUGAAGGAUCCGGUGUUGCCAUGAGCUGUGGUGUAGGUCGCAGACUCGGCUCGGAUCCCGCGUAGCUGUGGCUCUGGUGUAGGCCGAUGGCUACAUCUCCGAUUAGACCCCUAGCCUGGGAACUUCCAUAUGCCGGGGGAGUGGCCCUAGAAACCGAGAAAAGACAAAAAAAAAAAAAAAAAAAAAAAAAAAUCCUUCCAACUGCAUAAUCUUUUCUAGAAUUAAUUGGACUGAUCUCUCUGUGCUGUUUUAUAUGGGAUUUUUUUUUUAUUUACUUAUUUUGCUUUUUAGGGUCACAGCUGCGGCAUAUGGAAGUUCCCAGGUUAGGGGUCAAAUUGGAGCUGCAGCUGCCUGCCUACCCCACAGUCACAGCAACACAGGAUCCGAGCCAUGUCUACAACUUACAGCACAGCUCAGUGCAAUGCCGGAUCCUUCACCCACUGAGCAAGGCCAGGGAUCGAGCCUCAUCCUCAUGGGUACCAACCAGUUGGUUUCAUAACCCACUGAGCCACAACAGGAACUCCUUCUAUGAGAUUUUAUAUGACCCCGUUUUUUUAAGAUUUUGAUAUUUUUCUCUUAGAAUUGAUUUACAGCGUUCUGCUGUACAGCAAAGUGACGUAGUCAUACAUGUAUAUGCAUACACAUUCUUUUCCUCACAUUAUCCUCCAUCAUUUUCCAUCACAAGUGACUAGAUAUAGUUCCCUGUGCAAUACAGCUGCACCUGCAGCAUACAGAAGUCUUACAUGCCCCUUUAAAGUACAUUUUGG
rnacentral:lncRNA from 1 species